UUUUAGGAUUUUCUUUCUAUUUAAUAAGUGCAAUUAUCUUCAAAUUUUUUAAACUUGUUAACUUAUUUUUUGAAAAGUAUAUAAAAUUUUAAGCAAGAUCAAUAGUUUAAUCAAUAGAUAUUGAGAUUUUAAAUUAUACUAAGAUUUGAUUGAUUUGGUUAGAAUUUGAUUAAGAUUUGCUUAGGAUUUAGGAUUUAUUAUUUACUUAGGAUUUAGGAUUUAAGAUUUGAUUAGGUUUUAAGGUUUAGGAUUUUUUUAGAAUUUAAGAUUUAAGAUUUGCUUAAGAUUUAAG
rnacentral:lncRNA from 1 species